CAGUUAAAAAGACUCGUAGUUGAAGUUCUGAUUGUUCGGGGCCGUCGCGCUUUAUAGCCGAGGAACCGACAGUCAUCCGCUUGCAAAUAUAUAGUUCGCCUUUAACCGGGUGGCUAUAUGAGUAAGCAAUUUACCUUGAGAAAAACAGAGUGUUCCAGGCAGGUUUGUCCGGAAUGCAUUAGCAUGGAAUAAUAGAAUAUGACUGAAGUCGAUUUAUUGGUUUAAGGCUUUAGUAAUGAUUAAUAGGAACAGUCGGGGGCAUUGGUACUUGACAGUCAGAGGUGAAAUUCUAGGAUUUGUCAAAGACUAACAAAAUGCGAAAGCAUUUGCCAAGGAUGUUUUCAUUAAUCAAGAACGAAAGUUAGGGGGAUCAAAGACGAUCAGAUACCGUCCUAGUCUUAACUAUAAACUAUACCGACUCGGAUUCAGAUGAAUCAAAAAGUUCAUUUGGGACCGUAGGAGAAAUCAAAGUUUUUUGGGUUCUGGGGG
rnacentral:rRNA from 1 species